rnacentral:misc_RNA from 1 species
AAGUCGUAACAAGGUAACCGUAGGUGAACCUGCGGUUGGAUCAUUAAAAAAAUCUACCACAGAUCUGGAGGAGUGGGGGUAAGUACGUUCUGGACGUCUCUGACGGCCUGCGACCCAACCCACGAAUUCGAUCUACCCACAUCUUGUGAACCUUUGCCCUUCGACUCGGUUCCGGUCUCGGCCGGUUCCGCAGUGGUCGGGCAUCCUUAUUUUCCCAACUUAUGCAACCUGAAUUGUGGAAUGCUUCUGAGGAUGCGAUGGAACCAUUUGGUUCGAUCACUUUUGGAAACAAAAAACAUUCAAAAACAACUUUUGGCAACGGAUCUCUUGGCUCUC